rnacentral:lncRNA from 1 species
ACUCAAGGGUGAGCCCUUCCCUGGGGGUGCAGCCUUCGCUGGAGGGUGCAUCCUCCCCUCGGGGUGCGCCGUGGCACAUGUUGCCUCUCCACUCACUGCUCUUUCUUGGCUGCCUCCUUCCUGGGCUUUGCAUCAUGCUUGGGCAUUUUGGCUAUUCAAGAACCUCGCGCUGCAUGAAGAAAGAUGCAUUCUGUGUGACUCUGGAGGCUUUUCGAGCAGAGAGAAACAGCAGGUUCACAGCCCUCGGCUUGUUCCUCCUCCUGCUCACACUUCACCCUUCACCCUGGCUGACCUGCGUGUGCCAAACACGGUUGUGAGCUCCCACAGAACGAGGAGAGGCAGCCCGUUCCGCUGCAUCUCCCCAGGGCACCGGCAAGGACAGGCAAAGCCUCGUUGACUGAAUUCACGGAGAGCAGAGACUGCGCCCAGGCCUCGACCCCAGGACUUCUGUGUUGUGUGAGACGUGCUAGUGAUGCCGCUUUAAGCUCUGCUUUGAAAAUGGUCCUUUGACAGAUUCUGAAUGCAAGUGGCCUCCUUACGAGAUCCUGCAGAAUAACAAGGACAACUUAUCACAACUUCCUCAUUGUAAAAUCCAGCUCAGAUUGCAGUUGAAGAUCACAAAUGCUCUCUGUUUCACUUUGCGAUGUUUGUGGUGUCUAAUACAGCAACACAAGCCUAGGUUUCUGUGCAAAGACUUCCUUAUUGUUUAUUUACUAUCCACUUCCUCUGAGCAGGACUGAUCGACUUUUCACUUCUUAGGCCCCUGGUGGGUGGCCUAACAUUGGGAACGUCUCUGGGAAUCAAUGGCCUCCCAUGCUAUUGCCCUAAGAGGAAAAACUAUGGACCCAUUUCCGGCUCGUGAGUUGGAAGUGGAGGUCUGCUGGCGGCCUUUGUCUCCCUGCCUUCCCCUCCUGUCACUGGCUGGAACAUGUGCUUGAUGCCUGGCGUUCAGCAGCCCUGUUGAAACUGUGAGGUGACUGGCAGGUGUCAGAAGGAAAGCAAACUGCCUAGUGACGGCAGAGGCUGCAUGCACUCCACUGCCCUCUGCUCCACUGUCCACUCACCUCCGCUGGCUCUGUGCCCCAAGGCCCUGGCCUCUAUGGCCGGCAUCCAUGGGCUUCCCUAUCCUCUGGCCUCCAGGUGGAUUCAGUCACAGCAGAAGCUGGGAGGGGCAGCUGGAGGUUGGAGAAACAUGAGGCUAGUGUCCAGUUCCCUCCCUGGCCGAGGCAGCCGUGGAGGUGCUCCUUUCCAGGAAGCCAGCACUCCUUUCCGGUGGUCCUGCUCUGACCACGGCAGCUCGAGCUGAGCACAGAGUGACGGCUACAGCUCCCUCCACAUCUGGCCUGGGGUGGGAACAGCUCCUGGAUGCUUCUUCUUCCUGUGCUGGCAUCCCUUAGUCCCUCCCACCUUUUUUUUUUUAAUAUAAUAAACCUGCUUUGUUCAAUCCUCCUCAACCACCCACUGAAGCAAGCCCUCCUUUCCUUGCCGGGACCCAGAGAGCUGCUGGGAAAGAAAGGGUGGGCCCCCCGCAGUGUGGUCAGCACCUGGGCAGACCCCACCCACCUUCUAUGAUGAAAGCCCUGGAUGGAUUCCUAUCCCCACCCUGAGCUCCUCCCCUAACUCCCCAAAACAUUGGGAAGAUGGGCCUUCUGUCCUGGAAGGGCCAGUCUCCUGGGCAGAGCGCUAUGCAUAAGAAGGAAAGCCGUGUUACUCAAUGGUUCUACUGAACCACUAAGCAACAGGGGCUCUGGGGGCACUGUGGAGAUAGAGAACCCUUAGGAAGGCGAUGCUGGAUCCUAUGGGUCUCAACAGAGGGCCUUACGGGGCCACUGUAACAACCAACCACGAAUGGGAGGCUCAACACAACUGAAACGCACGUCCUCACAGUCCUGGAGGCCCGAACUCCAAAACCAAGGCGCCAGCAGGGCCACGCUUCCUCCACGGAGCCUCGGGGAGCAGACGGUCUUGAGACGAGACUUGCUCCCGCAACCCUUUCCCAGCUGCAGCUGCCUCUCCGCCAUCUCUGCCUCCGUGGCCACGCGGCAUCUUCUCCCUGGCAUGGGCUGAACCACCGCAUCUCGGGCAGGGAAGAAAAAAAUGCUGGCAACUAAACCGUGAGGUCCCUUCAAGAGUAAAAUGGAACCUAAGAGGAAGACGGAACCUAACAGAGAUGUCGGGAGGAGAAGCAGCAUGCAUCUUAGAAUUGAUAAGCACGAUACAUGACGACAGGUGUUUUGGUUUUUUGUUUGUUUGUUUGUUUGUUUUUGAGACAGUCUCGCUCCCUCUCCAGGCUGGAGUGCAAUGGCGUGAUUUCAGCUCACUGCAACCUCCACUUUCCGAGUUCAAGCGAUU